UUUUGGCACACUGCAUUUGACAAACUGUGUAUUAGGACAUCUUUUUUUUUUUGACAUACUAUAAAGAUGACAUUUUCAAAAACUUCACAAAACUGAUCAGUGUUUCUGGAAAGAUGAGUUGCUGAUUAAAUUUUAACCUUGUUCUGUGGAAGGCACCAGCAGGCAAAAUUCUCCUGGAUGGAUAUUUUAAAAGCUGGAAAAAUGAAACUACACUGAUCUGCAAAGCCAGAGCUCCUCACGACUCCUGAAUGUCGGCUCGACUCAGAAGCUCUGACUCAUUCCUUCUUGCCCAGGAGCAAGCCCAGGGGAUUGUGGGAAAUCAAGUCUGUGGGCAAGCAGAGGAGAUUUAGGCC